GACGAACGCUGGCGGCGUGCCUAAUACAUGCAAGUGGGACGCAAGGGAACACACUGUGCUUGCACACCGUGUUUUCUUGAGUCGCGAACGGGUGAGUAACGCGUAGGUAACCUGCCUAUUAGCGGGGGAUAACUAUUGGAAACGAUAGCUAAUACCGCAUAAUAUUAAUUAUUGCAUGAUAAUUGAUUGAAAGAUGCAAGCGCAUCACUAGUAGAUGGACCUGCGUUGUAUUAGCUAGUUGGUAAGGUAAGAGCUUACCAAGGCGACGAUACAUAGCCGACCUGAGAGGGUGAUCGGCCACACUGGGACUGAGACACGGCCCAGACUCCUACGGGAGGCAGCAGUAGGGAAUCUUCGGCAAUGGACGAAAGUCUGACCGAGCAACGCCGCGUGAGUGAAGAAGGGUUUCGGAUCGUAAAGCUCUGUUGUAAGUCAAGAACGUGUGUGAGAGUGGAAAGUUCACACAGUGACGGUAGCUUACCAGAAAGGGACGGCUAACUACGUG
rnacentral:rRNA from 1 species